AUAUAUGAGGAUGAAAUGUGUGGAUUGUUUAAGCUGGCAGGUUUUCCCAGAGAUGAAGCUAAGAAGAAGGUUUCCCCUUUAUCUUUGAAGGGAAAAGCAUUGACAUGGUAUAGGCUAUGCGAUGAUAUUGGAUCUUGGAAUUGGGACCGUUUGAAAUUGGAAUUUCAUCAAAAAAAAUAUCCUGUGCAUCUAGUUCAUCAUGAUCGGAAUUAUAUAUAUUAUUUUUGGCCUCGCGAAGGAGAAAGAAUCGCUCUAGCUUGGGGGAGGCUUAAGUCAAUGUUAUAUUCAUGCCCCAAUCAUGAGCUCUCAAGAGAAAUUAUUAUUCAGAAUUUUUAUGCUCGG
rnacentral:rRNA from 1 species